AUAUGGUCAUAUAUAUCAGUGUAUAUAGAAAUGUAUCUGUAAACUAUCAACGCGAAAAGGUGUAUCUGCGUGUGUAUAUCAGUGUACAUAUAACUGCUAGAAAGUUUAUAUAUACACGCAUAAACAUAUCAGUAUAUACAUAUCGUAUAUAUACACACUGUAUAUAUUAUAUAUAAACUGCUAAUAAGUAUCUACAAGGUAAAGAGAUCCGCGUCAAUGAUAAGUUUCUUUCAUGCUUGUUGAUUACAAGCAAACUCGAUGAAGAUGAAGCUCAUCAAUAAUAAUAAGAACAAGUACAAAUAAGAUAAAAAGAUUUAGAUGGAUUAUCACAAUUAGGUAUUUAGCAUACCCAACUCAUCAAGAGAAGAAACCAUUCUUAUGCCUAAUUCUAUAUAUAGUAAUAUGGAAUUUUGCCUCAGCAUAUCUGAUUAUAAGUGAUAGCCACAAGCAGUGAUUCAAAAAGCGGACCGCUUAGCGUAGGCAGGCACCCAACGCCCAGCCCAAGGCCUGCUCCCCACUUAGGCGAUAUGGAACCCACCUAGCCGGGUGCCCGCUCAGAGGUGGAAAUUUCUUAUUUUUUUAAGUUGACAAAAAUUGAUCAAAACAUCACCCAUUGAUAUUAGAUUUAAGUUUUGAUGUUUUAUAAAUCUAUUGGGAGGUUUUUUAGAAAAUUUUGAGUCCUUAAAAGCAUCUUUGACUGGGCAUUCGUGUUGGAGUUGACUGAGCCGCCUAGGUUCUGGGCGCCCCCUCCUAGGCGCUGAGCGUCUUGGACCCCCCAGGCCGCCUAGGACCCACUUAGCGCUUUUGAAACACUGGCCAGAUGAAAUAAUCUCCAGCUUUAAUGCCUAAUUUUAUCACAAUUUGAAAAAUUGUAUAUGCAAGAAAAAGUCAUUCAAAGGGAAGAUAAUGAUUCGAAUAGAAAGAAUUAAGAGAAAAAUAAUAAACAAUUAGCAGGGGGCUAGGUUAAUUCACCUUUCUAGCUGCAACAGCCACCUGUGCAUUCAUAUACAUAUCGAUGUACAUAUACGCUAAUAACUGUAAAAACUGAGAAAAAGUGUCUAUACGCGCUAUCAAUGCGUAAGGGUGCAUAUACGUGAGCAUAUAAGUGUAUAUGCUUGUGACUGUGUUUGUGUUUAUGUUUAUGAGUGUGUGUGUGAGUGUAAGUGUUUGUGUAGUAUAUAAAUUAGUGUACAUAUACGUUAAUACAUGUAUAAAUCGAAAAUAAGUGUUUAUAUAGUCAUUUACAUCAAUGUAUAUAGAUCAAUGUACAUAUACGUUAAUACAUGUAUAAAUUG
rnacentral:lncRNA from 1 species